rnacentral:rRNA from 1 species
CAGUAGCCGCGGGAAUACAGAGGGUGCGAGCGUUAAUCGGAUUUACUGGGCGUAAAGCGUGCGUAGGCGGCUUUUUAAGUCGGAUGUGAAAUCCCUGAGCUUAACUUAGGAAUUGCAUUCGAUACUGGGAAGCUAGAGUAUGGGAGAGGAUGGUAGAAUUCCAGGUGUAGCGGUGAAAUGCGUAGAGAUCUGGAGGAAUACCGAUGGCGAAGGCAGCCAUCUGGCCUAAUACUGACGCUGAGGUACGAAAGCUAGGGGAGCAAAUGGGAUUAGAUACCCCCGUAGUCCCUGUCUCUUAUAC